UGCUAGCAGCCGCGGUAAUACGGAGGGGGUUAGCGUUGUUCGGAAUUACUGGGCGUAAAGCGCACGUAGGCGGACUAGUCAGUCAGAGGUGAAAUCCCAGGGCUCAACCCUGGAACUGCCUUUGAUACUGCUAGUCUUGAGUUCGAGAGAGGUGAGUGGAAUUCCAGGUGUAGGAGUGAAAUCCGUAGAUAUUCGGAGGAACACCAGUGGCGAAGGCGGCUCACUGGCUCGAUACUGACGCUGAGACGCGAAAGCGUGGGGAGCAAACAGGAUUAGAUA
rnacentral:rRNA from 1 species